CAGACAUUUCAUCCCUGGAACAUGCAUUUUAAUAGUGUGUGUGGUGGGUUGUGUGUGUGUGUGUGUGUGAUU
rnacentral:miRNA from 14 species